rfam:Schistosoma haematobium scaffold11_13, whole genome shotgun sequence.
AUUCAACUGACGAGUCCCAAACAGGACGAGAGUGCACCUCAUUUGGAU